rnacentral:rRNA from 1 species
AUGGAUCCGAGUGAGAAACUGAAUGUUCGCUUUCACUUUGGAGGGGAAUUUGUCCGAGUUGGUCCUGAGUUAGAUUAUGUUGGAGGAGAUGAGGAGAUAUCAGAGAUAGAAAGGGACAAACUGUCCUUACCAGAAAUCACAGGGCAUUUGGCUGAUCAUAUCACAUACAAAGAUUCCAUGAAGCUUUAUUUCUUGGUUCCAGGUUUAGAAUUGUCAAAUGGCUUGAUGUUUCUCCUUGAUGAUGCUGGUUGUAUGAAAAUGUCAGAGUACACAACCGAUAGUGGAGUGGCUGAUGUGUAUGUUGAGUACUUUGGAGAGCAGGAUGAGGAAAGUGAUAGGAGUGGUAGUGAUUUUGAAGAUGAGAUA